AUUGAACGCUGGCGGCAUGCUUUACACAUGCAAGUCGAACGGCAGCACGGGUGCUUGCACCUGGUGGCGAGUGGCGGACGGGUGAGUAAUACAUCGGAACGUAUCCUAAAGUGGGGGAUAACGCAUCGAAAGAUGUGCUAAUACCGCAUACACUCUGAGGAGGAAAGUAGGGGAUCGAAAGACCUUAUGCUUUUGGAGCGGCCGAUGUCUGAUUAGCUAGUUGGUAAGGUAAUGGCUUACCAAGGCAACGAUCAGUAGUUGGUCUGAGAGGACGACCAGCCACACUGGGACUGAGACACGGCCCAGACUCCUACGGGAGGCAGCAGUGGGGAAUUUUGGACAAUGGGCGCAAGCCUGAUCCAGCAAUGCCGCGUGAGUGAAGAAGGCCUUCGGGUUGUAAAGGCUCUUUCAGUUGAGAAGAAAAGAUUAGUGACUAAUAAUUAGCAAUUACAUUGACGGUAUCAACAGAAGAAGACACCGG
rnacentral:rRNA from 1 species